rnacentral:misc_RNA from 1 species
UACGUAGGUGGCAAGCGUUGUCCGGAAUUAUUGGGCGUAAAGCACGCGCAGGCGGUCUUUUAAGUCUGACGUGAAAGCCCACGGCUCAACCGUGGAGGGUCAGUGGAAACUGGAGGACUUGAGUGCAGGAGAGGAAAGUGGAAUUCCACGGGUAGCGGUGAAAUGCGUAGAGAUGUGGAGGAACACCAGUGGCGAAGGCGACUUUCUGGUCUGUAACUGACGCUGAGGCGCGAAAGCGGGGGGAGCAAACAGG